rnacentral:misc_RNA from 1 species
GGCGUAGCGGCGCCGGGCGCCUAGUACGUCACUCUCAGUCGGUCUGGCAGGUCCGCGAGACAGUGCCAGCCACCCAGGGUCGCAGCUACCGCAGUCUUCGUGAUAGCACAGGUUUGCGUUUCGUAGUGCGUGAGCAGUCUACUGUCUACGAAACACUUCUUUGGACGAAUCACAGUUUGUGAGGUUACCAGUGUGUUUGAUCUGCAGCGCCACAUCGGUCGAGCGGAAAGGGAGGUUUCAGCAAAGCGCUGUAGUCGCAAACUCGCUUGUCGCAAGUGCCGCUAGGCGGCAGCACCGCAGCUAGUGACGCGGCUCGUCGCUCAGUGAUCAGCUGUGUUUGGCGGCAGAGAGUCGAGUAAGAGGUGGCGGUGUAGGUGCUCGCAGAAGAGUUGACAGAUUCAGCUCUUUAUUGUGAAGAUAUACUUGCGUCCUCUUUGAUACAAGAAUCCCGUUGACACAACGCACGGGAAUUUAAAGACUGCCAUUGUGAAACAAAGACCUGAGCAUAUGCUCUAUUAUCGGGAACAAUAACUUCUGGGGAACAGACAGUCUUCUGAAACGGUUCUAGAAAUGAGAGCAUAAAAAGCUGCAAGAAGCAUUCUGAAGUAGGACGACAAGAAAACGUUGUGAUGUACAGCAUGCAUGCAAUCGGAAAAUUCAUAAGCAACUUCAGGGACUUCUACAAUGAAAUCAACGCAGCAACGCUAACAGGUGCAAUUGACGUGGUCGUUGUUGAACAACCCGAUGGCAAUUUUACGUGUUCACCAUUUCAUGUUCGCUUCGGAAAACUGGGGGUUUUGCGUAGCAGGGAAAAAGUGGUGGACAUUGAAAUAAAUGGAGAACCGCAAGAUAUUCAUAUGAAAUUGGGAGAGAGCGGUGAGGCGUUUUUUGUUGAAGAAGUUCCAAGUGGUAAUGGAUCUGAUGAAUACAUACCACCACAUUUAGCCUGCUCUCCGAUACCUCAAGAUUUUUUCCCACCACAUUUUGCAAGUCGGGAGCUUCACGAGGAAGAGGCAGCAGCAGAAGCCGAUACCGACGUCCAUCACAGCAGUGACAGUAUACAUGAUGAAACUACGUUUGUAAUGGAUGAUGUAUCUAGUCACCCAGAUGAUGAUCAAAAAGACAACACAAGGUCUUUCGAAAGUGCCACGGGCAAAGAAGUUACUGAGUCUCAGUUACCUGAUAGUGCUUCACUAAUUCAGCCAAAGACUUUUUGUGCAGAAACUCUGAAUGAAAGUAGUGAUUCAGCCGAAAAGGUCCGUAAAAUUAGCAUUGUUCAAGGGGAGUUUAGGCCGAUUUCGGUGGAUGGAGAUUUUGAGCUAGAUGAAAGUAGACACACUGGCGCUCAGCAUGACAGUGUUGCUGUUGCCCCUCAGAGCUUAUCAGGAAGGAAGGAUUCUCAUAAAGAGAAUUCCGCACCAUCCGAGGACAGUUUGAAACCUGUCAAUUCAAACAAUAGGAGGAAGAAGCGUAGGAAGUCAUUGAAGAAAAAGGCUGGUCAGAAGAAGACUAAUGGAGGAGGUGGCUCAAGCAGUCAAACAGAUCAUUCCGAACUGUCAGAGGGCCGGGACGCGAAGGACCAAGACGAUGUCGCAGAGCAGUCGUGCCACGAUGAACAGGCUGAACCACCUGUCACAUGCAGCCACCUUGGAGGUGUUAUUGUGGACAGUGAUGUGACAACAGUGUACUGUUCAGAGUGUGACACGUGUCGUAAAAGCCAGUUAAAACCAACAAUUACGGUCAGCAGUCCAGAUCCGCAUACUUCUGUGUGUGAUGCACAGCCUGAUAGUGUACUUGUUGCAGCGGCCAGUAACUUGGCUGAGCUUUCAAGGAUACAGCAUGCUUCCACAGAGACUGACUUCCAUUUCUUCAGUGACACUGAAUUGACUCCAGGAUGCAGAAGAGAAAUUCCGAGCUGCCGAAUUACGUCUGCUCUUUCAGAAACAGCCUUCGAAGUUUUAACAUCAGUCCUGAGCCAUUUCCCACAGGACUCACGUCCCAGCUCCCCAGUGCAGUCAGAUACAGAGUACGAGGUCAACAGACAGUCAAAGGGUGUUAGUACGGAAGGAUGCCUCAGCCAAGAUGAACAUGGAGUAAUGCAGCAAUCAUGGCGAUGGGGAGAACUGCCUUCCCCACCAGCCAGAUCUCUGUCCACACAGAGCCCACGUGUGAUGACUAAGGAGAAGCCCGACCUGGAGCCGGUAUCUUCUAGUGAUGAGGAUGUCCAGAAACAGCAACAAGCAGCAGAGGCAGCGCAGAGGUCCAUGCUGAGUGGCAUGUUCAGUUUUAUGAAGAAGACAAAAAGGAUUCGCCACAACCCAGAGUCUGAAGGAAUCUACUUGUCUGAUCUCAAUAUGGAUGAACUGGACCCUGAGGUGGCUGCCCUGUAUUUUCCCACGUCUUACAGGCAGGGCCCCUCUACUGCUGCUCCUCAACAUCUUCAAGAAGAACCACAAGAGAGGCAGAGAGAAGAUGAUGCAGAGUCAGGAAAUGGAACGUCUCUACCUCAGUCUCCAAACAGUGUGGAAGGAGCAGUUUGUGGUCCAAAGUCUUUGGAUAGUGAUUUUGAUGAAUUGAAACACUCAGUUUUUGAAAAAAAAUCGUAUGGAGAAAUAUCCUUGUCACUUUGUGGUGGAUUAUCAGAUGGAAGAAAAGGACCAUCAGAGGAUGCGUUUCUACAGAAUAUUAUUGCAUAUGAUGAUAUCGUUAGAGAUCCAAAGAUUAUUGAGAGCCCAAAUUUAGUUGUGAGAUUCAAUGGAAAGUUCUACAACUGGAAGACAGCUUGCCCAAUAGUGAUGUCACUUGUAGUUUAUCAAAAACCCCUGCCUCAGGAAGUAAUUGAUACACUGUGUGCCGAGUACAUGACAAGUAAGAAAGAUUCAAAGCAGUCAACAUACUCUUCGUGGUUUUAUUGGAGACGCGCAAGCCAGUCACAGAAACGUGAUGAAGCUCCUUCCCAAGAACAGGAGUUAUCAUCUCCUGAAGCAGAGAGGUUGUCUGAUGUAAAGGAGGAUGCUUCAGUUACCAGUGGAGAAAUGCCAGAACAACUGAAAGAUACCUCCAGAUUGAAACAGAAGAGCUUGAGUGAAGAGGAGGAUAUGGCAAAAGAAACGGAAAAGCAAGAGCUACCAAAAUCAGAGACAAAAGAUAUUAAAACUGAUGAAAUAGAAUGUUCGCAAGAAGCAACCUUCCAAGAGUUGGAAACAAUGACAGCUGCUCAGAAAGAAUCAAAAGAGGAAGGGUACAGUGGUUCAAACUCUUCAGAUGAGUCAGAUGGUGGCCAAACAAAACAGCAAAUCGUGAAGAAACCUCUUGAGAAGAGAUCCUAUUAUGAUCAUCCAGAAAAGUACAGGAAAACUUUGCGUCUUUCUUCUGAUCAGAUAGCUAAGCUAAAUCUCCAGGAAGGUGCUAAUGAGGUUGUCUUCAGUGUUACCACAGCAUACCAAGGAACAACUAGGUGCAAAUGCCACAUAUACCGUUGGCGUUAUGAUGAUAAGAUUGUUAUCUCUGACAUUGAUGGGACAAUUACCAAGUCUGACGUUCUUGGGCAUAUCUUACCCAUUGUUGGGAAGGACUGGGCACAGAGUGGAGUAGCACAACUUUUCACAAAAAUAAAAAAUAAUGGCUAUAAGCUGUUAUAUCUCUCAGCACGGGCCAUUGGUCAGGCACGUGUAACAAGAGAAUACCUUAAGUCUAUAAAACAAGGGAAUCUCUCGCUGCCUGAGGGCCCACUGUUGCUCAACCCCACCAGUUUGAUCAGUGCAUUCCACAGAGAGGUAAUAGAAAAGAAGCCUGAGGAAUUCAAGAUCUCAUGCCUCCGUGAUAUUCAAGCAUUGUUUCCAGAAAACAGCAAGCCAUUCUAUGCUGGAUAUGGCAAUAGAAUUAAUGAUGUAUGGGCGUAUCGUGCUGUGGGCAUUCCAAUUUUCAGAAUAUUCACCAUUAAUCACAGGGGGGAACUGAAACAUGAAUUGACGCAGACAUUCCAAUCUUCUUACUCAGGACAAAGUUGCAUUGUGAAUGACUUAUUCCCACCACUUGUAGUAUGUUAAAGCAACUUAAACUGCACUGCAGCUAAUUACAAUGAGAUAUAUUGAUUUACUCGACCAUUUUUACCGAUGGCCAUCAGUCUUCUGGACCAAGAAAUGUUAGGGUGUGUAGCUGUAUCACCAGCUGCCAUCUGGUAUUCUAACAUGAGCUACAUUGUGGAUCAGAUGUUUCCACCUCCUCCAGAAGAUACAGCUGAAGAUUUCUCCAAUUUUGUUUAUUGGCGAGAUCCCAUUGCUGAGAUAGAACUGGAUCCAUCACUUGUGUCAGGCCA